GUGUAAAGUUCUGCUGUUGAUCCACUGACAAUUUGCAAAAAAAAUUUCCCAAUUUUUCAUCACUGCAUUUCUUUAGUAAUCCUGACAGUACUAUGGUGCAAGCUGUUAGUAAAUCUGGCCCAUAAUAUCAAAAUAUUGUAGAAACAUUUUAACCUUCUGUCAUUUCUUCAGAUGUACAUGGAAGCUUUGCUUCUCGCUUCGCAAAAAGCAAGAUCCUGUCAGUAUACCAGCCAUUUUUCAAACAGUUUUGGGGCUGCAUCUUGAAGUAAAAUGUGAAAGUCCUGUGCAAUCUAAAAGCAAAAAUAACAA